GCGGGUGUAGUUCAAUGGUAGAACUUCAGCUUCCCAAGCUGAUAGUGCGGGUUCGAUUCCCGUCACCCGCU
rnacentral:tRNA from 1 species